GAGAGAUAUAUGCAUUAGCUCAAUCCUACUCUAAUUCAAUGUAAUCAUUGAAUAUAGAGUCUUGUAUGGAAAUCAAUCCUAGUCCGUCUAGAAUUCCAAUUUAAAUUAGGAUCCACCAAAAUAAAUCCUCAUGAGAUCUUUUUUAUUUUUCCAUAAACUCGGUGUAUGAACCAAACCAAUAAAAAAAAAGGUAUAUCUUUAACAUAAACUACACCCUUUAAGAUGAAAGUUAUAUUUUUCAAAUAAAAAUUAUAUUUUUGGAAGAUACUUAUAUU
rnacentral:lncRNA from 1 species